GCAGUCAUGGCCUAAGGGUUAGUGUAUCAGCCUUGUAACCUGAAGGUGAACCCGAAGGUCAUGGGUUCGAGUCUCAGGAGUGGCA